CAGUCGCGGUAACACGUAGAAGACUAGUGUUAUUCAUCUUUAAUAGGUUUAAAGGGUACCUAGACGGAAAAUCAAGCCAUAUUAGGUACUAAUUUUCUAGAGUUUUAUGCGAGAAGAUAGAAUUUUCAGAGGAGAGAUGAUAUUUGGUGAUACUGGAAAGACUGGUAACGGCGAAGGCAACCUUCUAUGUAAAAACUGACGUUGAGGGACGAAGCCUUGGGUAACAAGUAGGAUUUGAUACCCUAGUAGUCCUUGGAGACAAUUAUGAAUGUCAUAGGCUAGAUCAAUUUAGUCUAUAAAUGAAAGUGUAAGCAUUCCACCUCAUGAGUAAAGCGGCAACGCCCAAAUUGAAAUCAUUAGACCGUAUCUGAAACCAGUAGUGAAGUAUGUUAUUUAAUUCGAUGGUCCGCGAAUAACCUUACCACGCUUUGAAUAUUAUUUUAUUAUUACAAGUGCUGCACGGCUGUUUUUAGUUAAUGUCGUGAGAUUUUGGUUAACUCCUAUAAUUAACGCAAACCCUUGCUUUAUUUAUUUUUAUAAAGUAGUUCUCCGUUUAUAUUGGAUAGAUAAAAGGGACUAAUACAAGUCAUCAUGG
rnacentral:rRNA from 1 species